AGAGGGAAGGCAACGUAAAGACCCAAAGAGAGACCACCAUCUACAAGUCACAUCUACAAGUCAAGGAGAGAGGCCCAGGACAGAUUCUUUCCUCACAGCCCUCGGGAGGAAGCAACCCUGCCAACUCCCUGACUUCUAGCCUUCUUCAGAUUCUCAGCUUCUAGAACUGUGAGAUGAUGCAUUUCUGCCAUUUAAGCCACCAGUUUGUGGCUGGCAUUGUUAUGGCGGCCCUAGCAAACUAAGACAACUCUAAAUUCUGCAAACAGUUCUCUAAACAAGGCUGAUAUAAUUAAAUUGCUACUUCUUAAGAUUUUCCUCUCUCCUUUAAAAAUGAAAGACUUGUAAAUAUAGACUGCCUAAAUGCUUCAUCAGUAAGAACUGGAGUCAUCUUACCCAACUUCUUCAAGUAACAAUUAUGUGGAAAAAGUGUGCUAAUAAGAAGACAUCCUGCUGUUGUAAACUAGAAGGAAAGACGUUCCAGUGUUAAUCUCCAAGUGUAGCACCGUUAAGCGGCAGAAAAAAAGGACUAAACGCUACCUACGCUCAAUGUUCCACACCUCUUAAGCCAGUAAUCCUGUAUCGGGUGUCGGGCAGCAAAGAAAAUAAAAUAUACCUCGUCUGUGCUCCAUUUGGAAACUUUACUGGCAGGGAUUCCUGCGACAGUUGGAAGAAGUUUGCUUUGCUGCUCCCAGCGCAAGGGCAGACAUGGAAUUGGGGA
rnacentral:antisense_RNA from 1 species